rnacentral:rRNA from 1 species
CAGCAGCCGCGGGAAUACGUAGGAUGCAAGCGUUGUCCGGAUUUAUUGGGCGUAAAGAGUUCGUAGGCGGUUCGUUAAGUCUGAUGUUAAAGAUCAGGGCUCAACCCUGAGAGUGCAUUGGAUACUGGCGGACUGGAGUGUGGUAGAGGCUAGUGGAAUUCCCAGUGUAGCGGUGAAAUGCGUAGAUAUUGGGAAGAACACCGGUGGCGUAGGCGACUAGCUGGGCCAUAACUGACGCUGAGGAACGAAAGCCAGGGGAGCGAAUGGGAUUAGAUACCCGCGUAGUCCCUGUCUCUUAUAC